GGUUAAGUGACUAAGCGUACACGGUGGAUGCCUUGGCAGUCAGAGGCGAUGAAGGACGUAUUAACUUGCGAUAAGCCCAGAUUAGGUAGUAAAAACCAUUUGAGUCUGGGAUUUCCGAAUGGGGAAACCCAAUACCAUAAGGUAUUACUGUUGAGUGAAUACAUAGCUCAACAGGGCGAACCGGGGGAACUGAAACAUCUAAGUACCCCGAGGAAAAGAAAUCAACCGAGAUUCCGAAAGUAGCGGCGAGCGAAAUUGGACUAGCCCUUAAGCUUUACACGCGUUAGACGAACAGCCUGGAAAGGCCGACGAUACAGGGUGAUAGUCCCGUAGUUGACGACGUGUGUUCAGUGAAAUCGAGUAGGGCGGGACACGUGAUAUCCUGUCUGAAUCUGGGGGGACCAUACUCCAAGGCUAAAUACUACUGACUGACCGAUAGUGAACCAGUACCGUGCGGGAAAGGCG
rnacentral:rRNA from 1 species